UGUGUAAGGGUGCGGUGUGUGUGUGAGGGGUGCGGUGUGUGUGAGAGUGCCAUGUGAGAGUGCCGUGUGUGAGUGAUGGGUGUGAGAGUGCCGUGUGUGAGAGUGCUGUGUGAGAGUGCUGUGUGAGAGAGUGCUCUGUGAGAGUGCUGUGAGUGUGAUGGGUGUGAGAGUGCUGUGAGAGAGUGCUGUGUGUGUGUGAGAGUGCUCUGUGA